rnacentral:rRNA from 1 species
AGCCGCCGCGGUAACACCGGCGGCCCGAGUGGUGAUCGUGAUUAUUGGGUCUAAAGGGUCCGUAGCCGGUUUGGUCAGUCCUCCGGGAAAUCUGAUAGCUCAACUAUUAGGCUUUCGGGGGAUACUGCCAGACUUGGAACCGGGAGAGGUAAGAGGUACUACAGGGGUAGGAGUGAAAUCUUGUAAUCCCUGUGGGACCACCUGUGGCGAAGGCGUCUUACCAGAACGGGUUCGACGGUGAGGGACGAAAGCUGGGGGCACGAACCGGAUUAGAUACCCGGGUAGUCCCAGCCGUAAACGAUGCUCGCUAGGUGUCAGGCAUGGCGCGACCGUGUCUGGUGCCGCAGGGAAGCCGUGAAGCGAGCCACCUGGGAAGUACGGCCGCAAGGCUGAAACUUAAAGGAAUUGGCGGGGGAGCACAACAACGGGUGGAAGCCUGCGGUUUAAUUGGACUCAACGCCGGACAACUCACCGGGGGCGACAGCAAUAUGUAGGCCAAGCUGAAGACUUUGCCUGAAUCGCUGAGAGGAGGUGCAUGG